rnacentral:rRNA from 1 species
CCUACGGGAGGCAGCAGUGGGGAAUUUUGGACAAUGGGCGAAAGCCUGAUCCAGCCAUUCCGCGUGCAGGAUGAAGGCCCUCGGGUUGUAAACUGCUUUUGUACAGAACGAAAAGGUUUCUAUUAAUACUAGGAGCUCAUGACGGUACUGUAAGAAUAAGCACCGGCUAACUACGUGCCAGCAGCCGCGGUAAUACGUAGGGUGCAAGCGUUAAUCGGAAUUACUGGGCGUAAAGCGUGCGCAGGCGGUUAUAUAAGUCAGAUGUGAAAUCCCCGGGCUCAACCUGGGAACUGCAUUUGAGACUGUAUAGCUAGAGUACGGUAGAGGGGGAUGGAAUUCCGCGUGUAGCAGUGAAAUGCGUAGAUAUGCGGAGGAACACCGAUGGCGAAGGCAAUCCCCUGGACCUGUACUGACGCUCAUGCACGAAAGCGUGGGGAGCAAACAGGAUUAGAUACCCUGGUAGUCCACGCCCUAAACGAUGUCACUGGUUGUUGGUCUUAACUGACUCAGUAACAAGCUAACGCGUGAGUAGACGCGNGGAGGUAACGGUCGCGAGUUAGUAAGUUAGAAGAAGUUAGAGGCGNGAGAGNGCGACGGACGACGACGAGGGAGGAGG